rnacentral:lncRNA from 1 species
GUUGAGUGGCACUGGAGCAGUAAAAAAUUCAAUGUCGUUAAUGAUCCCUUCAGGGCACCUGGCGAAACCCUGUCAUAUCUAGCCUUCCGCCUGGAUUGGGGGAUAGCCGGGCGUUGACUGUUUGUUUUUCCCCCAGUCUGUCAUUCUUAUGGAUUCUAUUAAACUUUUAAAUGCAACUCUUUCUGGGGAGGGCACUUCUCAGUUUCUUCAUGGGAACGGUGGUCUCAGGGCCUCUUUUGAGGGUACCGGGCCCAUUGGUUUGCCUCAGGGCGGUGGAGCAUUCUCCUGUUGUUGGUGUUUCCUCCGGGAGUACACCUGGUCCACAGAAGGCACGUUUGUCUGGAGCGGCUAGGCGAAAGCAGGUUGCUGGUACCGGUGGCUCUUUGC